AGUUCUAUGCCUGAUAAAAGGAGUAAAUUGUAAAUUUAUAAAUGAGAGUUGAAUUUCUAGGACUA
rnacentral:tRNA from 1 species